UACGAAGGGGGCUAGCGUUGCUCGGAAUCACUGGGCGUAAAGGGCGUGUAGGCGGGAAGGAAAGUCAGAUGUGAAAGCCCUGGGCUCAACCCAGGAACUGCAUUUGAAACUCCCUUUCUUGAGUGUCGGAGAGGAAAGCGGAAUUCCUGGUGUAGAGGUGAAAUUCGUAGAUAUCAGGAGGAACACCGGUGGCGAAGGCGGCUUUCUGGACGACAACUGACGCUGAGACGCGAAAGCGUGGGGAGCAAACAGG
rnacentral:rRNA from 1 species